rnacentral:rRNA from 1 species
AGUGAACGCUGGCGGUAGGCCUAACACAUGCAAGUCGAACGGCAGCACAGUAAGAGCUUGCUCUUACGGGUGGCGAGUGGCGGACGGGUGAGGAAUACAUCGGAAUCUACUUUUUCGUGGGGGAUAACGUAGGGAAACUUACGCUAAUACCGCAUACGACCUACGGGUGAAAGCAGGGGAUCUUCGGACCUUGCGCGAUUGAAUGAGCCGAUGUCGGAUUAGCUAGUUGGCGGGGUAAAGGCCCACCAAGGCGACGAUCCGUAGCUGGUCUGAGAGGGUGAUCAGCCCCACUGGAACUGAGACACGGUCCAGACUCCUACGGGAGGCAGCAGUGGGGAAUAUUGGACAAUGGGCGCAAGCCUGAUCCAGCCAUACCGCGUGGGUGAAGAAGGCCUUCGGGUUGUAAAGCCCUUUUGUUGGGAAAGAAAAGCAGCAGGUUAAUACCCCGCUGUUCCGACGGUACCCAAAGAAUAAGCACCGGCUAACUUCGUG